rnacentral:rRNA from 1 species
GAGUUUGAUCGUGGCUCAGGAUGAACGCUGGCGGCGUGCCUAAUACAUGCAAGUCGAGCGAACAGACGAGGAGCUUGCUCCUCUGACGUUAGCGGCGGACGGGUGAGUAACACGUGGAUAACCUACCUAUAAGACUGGGAUAACUUCGGGAAACCGGAGCUAAUACCGAAUAAUAUAUUGAACCGCAUGGUUCAAUAGUGAAAAACGGUUUUGCUGUCACUUAUAGAUGGAUCCGCGCCGCAUUAGCUAGUUGGUAGGGUAACGGCUUACCAAGGCGACGAUGCGUAGCCGACCUGAGAGGGUGAUCGGCCACACUGGAACUGAGACACGGUCCAGACUCCUACGGGAGGCAGCAGUAGGGAAUCUUCCGCAAUGGGGCGAAAGCCUGACGGAGCAACGCCGCGUGAGUGAUGAAGGUCUUCGGAUCGUAAAACUCUGUUAUUAGGGAAGAACAAAUGUGUAAGUAACUAUGCACGUCUUGACGGUACCUAA